UGGGGAAUUUUGGACAAUGGGCGAAAGCCUGAUCCAGCAAUGCCGCGUGUGUGAAGAAGGCCUUCGGGUUGUAAAGCACUUUUGUCCGGAAAGAAAUCCUUGGCUCUAAUACAGUCGGGGGAUGACGGUACCGGAAGAAUAAGCACCGGCUAACUACGUGCCAGCAGCCGCGGUAAUACGUAGGGUGCAAGCGUUAAUCGGAAUUACUGGGCGUAAAGCGUGCGCAGGCGGUUUGCUAAGACCGAGGUGAAAUCCCCGGGCUCAACCUGGGAACUGCAUUGGUGACUGGCAGGCUAGAGUAUGGCAGAGGGGGGUAGAAUUCCACGUGUAGCAGUGAAAUGCGUAGAGAUGUGGAGGAAUACCGAUGGCGAAGGCAGCCCCCUGGGCCAAUACUGACGCUCAUGCACGAAAGCGUGGGGAGCAAACAGGAUUAGAUACCCUGGUAGUCCACGCCCUAAACGAUGUCAACUAGUUGUUGGGGAUUCAUUUCCUUAGUAACGUGCAUACACGUGAAGUUGACCGCCUGGGGAGUACGGUCGCAAGAUUAAAACUCAAAUGAAUUGACGGGGUCAUAGCUGUUUCCU
rnacentral:rRNA from 1 species